rnacentral:rRNA from 1 species
AUACGGAGGGUGCAAGCGUUAAUCGGAAUUACUGGGCGUAAAGAGUACGUAGGUGGUUUGUUUAGUCAGAUGUGAAAGCCCAGGGCUUAACCUUGGAACUGCAUUUGAAACUGGCAAACUAGAGUAUGGUAGAGGGGGGUAGAAUUCCUAGUGUAGCGGUGAAAUGCGUAGAUAUUAGGAGGAAUACCAGUGGCGAAGGCGGCCCCCUGGACCAAUACUGACACUGAGGUACGAAAGCGUGGGGAGCGAACAGCAUUAGAUACCCCAGUAGUCC